rnacentral:misc_RNA from 1 species
CGGUCAUGGCCGCCGCCGAGUGCCGCCCACCAGAGCCCGGAGCCGACGACGACAACUCUAUUCACGUCUCGCUUAUUGACGCUAUUCAACACUUCACCGAUCUAGACGUUUCCUUAAAUAAGCUCGAACGCUUUCUGCGAGUUUUAGGUUUCUGUCAGUAUUCCAUUUUCAGCGCUGCACUAUCCUGGCUGGCUUUUUUUGUCUUCUCCAUUGUUG